CUGCUACCUCUUCGGUCCGCGACGGUCCUGUACAGCACUGUUCGUCUCCCCGUCUCAGGGAGCCCGCUCCCCUGAUAGAGAUGGGGUUUCACCGUGUUAGCCGGGAUGGUCUUGAUCUCCUGACCUGGUGAUCCGACAGCCUCAGCCUCCCAAAGCGCUGGGAUUACAGGCGUGAGCCAAUGCGCCCGGCGACAGGCUCUGUUUUUAAGAGAAUCUGCAAAAUGGCUGAUAAUUUGGAUGAAUUUAUCGAAGAGCGAAAAGCCAAAUUGGCCAAAGACAAAGCAGAGUUGGAAAGUGAUCCACCUUACAUGGAAAUGAAGGGCAAGUUGUCAGAGAAGCUUUCGGAAAACAGUAAGAUACUGAUCUCUAUGGCUAAGGAAAACAUACCACCAAAUAGUCAACAGACCAGGGGUUCCUUAGGAAUUGAUUAUGGAUUAAGUUUACCACUUGGGGACGACUAUGAACGGAAGAAACAUAAAUUAAAAGAAGAAUUGCGGCAAGAUUACAGACGUUAUCUUACUCAGGGCAUUACACAAGGGAAAAGAAAGACAAAUUUUCUAUCUACGAGUGAAACAGAUCGAUCUACUUUGGGAGUUUCUCUUCCUAUUGGUGAGAGGUUAUCUGCUAAGGAAAGAUUAAAACUUGAACGUAACGAAGAAUACAAUCAGUUUCUCAGGGGUAAGGAAGAAUCCAGUGAAAAGUUCAGGCAGGUAGAAAAGAGUACUGAGCCCAAGAGUCAAAGAAAUAAAAAACCUAUUGGUCAAGUUAAGCCUGAUUUAACUUCACAAAUACAGACAUCUUGCGAAAAUUCAGAGGGUCCUAGAAAAGAUGUCUUAACUCUUUCAGAGGCAUAUGAAGAACUUCUGAACCAAAGACGACUAAAGGAGGACAGAUGCCGACAACUAGAUGAUGAACUUGAAUUAAGGAAUAGAAGAAUUAUUAAAAAAGCAAAUGAAGAAGUGGGCAUUUCCAACCUAAAACAUCAAAGGUUUGCAAGCAAGGCUGGCAUUCCAGAUAGAAGAUUUCACAAAUUUAAUGAGGAUUGUGUUUUUGAUAGACGGUAUCAUAGACCAGACCAAGAUCCUGAAGUAAGUGAAGAAAUGGAUGAGAGGUUUAGAUAUGAAAGUGAUUUUGAUAGAAGACUUUUGAGAGUGUAUACAAAUGACAGGAUGCACAGGAACAGACGAGGGAAUGUGCCUCCUAUGGAACAUGAUGGGGAUGUUGUAGAACAGUCAAACAUAAGAAUUUCAUCUGCUGAGAAUAAAAGUGCUUUAGACAAUGAACCAUCCAAAUCUACUAAUCAAGAUACCUGUAGUCCUUUUGCAGGGAUGCUCUUUGGAGGUGAAGAUCGAGAACUUAUUCAGAGAAGGAAAGAGAAAUACAGACUAGAACUAUUGGAACAAAUGGCUGAGCAACAGAGGAACAAGAGACGAGAAAAAGAUUUAGAACUCAGGGUUGCAGCAUCUGGAGCACAAGACCCUGAGAAAUCGCCUGAUAGACUAAAGCAGUUUAGUGUGGCACCAAGACACUUUGAAGAGAUGAUACCACCUGAAAGACCCAGAAUAGCUUUCCAGACACCUCUCCCUCCUUUAUCUGCCCCAUCUGUCCCACCCAUCCCAUCAGUUCAUUCCGUUCCUUCUCAAAAUGAAGAUUUGCGCAGUGGACUCAACAGCGCCUUUGGUGAAAUGGUGUCUCCCAGGAUUGCACCUCUGCCUCCACCUCCCCUACUACCACCUUUGGCUACUAACUAUCGAACUCCUUAUGAUGAUGCAUACUAUUUUUAUGGGGCCAGGAAUACUUUGGAUCCCAGUCUUGCUUAUUAUGGCUCAGGAAUGAUGGGCGUACAGCCUGCAGCUUAUGUUAGUGCUCCUGUCACCCACCAACUAGCGCAACCUGUUGUGAAUACGGUUGGACAGAAUGAACUGAAGAUUACAAGUGAUGAAGUGAUAAAUUCAGGAUUGAUUUUUGAAGAUAAGCCGAAACCUUCCAAACAGUCACUUCAGUCUUACCAAGAGGCUUUGCAGCAGCAGAUUCGGGAAAGAGAAGAAAGAAGGAAGAAAGAACGUGAAGAAAAAGAAGAAUAUGAAGCUAAAUUAGAAGCUGAAAUGAGAACAUACAAUCCCUGGGGAAAAGGUGGAGGUGGUGCUCCUCUCAGGGAUGCAAAAGGAAAUCUGAUAACCGAUUUGAAUAGGAUGCACAGACAAAAUAUAGAUGCCUACCAUAACCCAGAUGCAAGAACAUACGAAGAUAAAAGGGCUGUUCUAUCUCUAGAUCCAAAUUUAGCCACUUCAAAUGCUGAGAACCUAGAAGAUGCUGCAAAUAAAAGCUCAGGUCAUAUGCAAACACAGAGCUCUCCUUUUGCUCGGGGAAAUGUAUUUGGUGAGCCUCCAACUGAACUUCAGAUUAAACAGCAAGAAUUAUACAAGAAUUUUCUUCGUUUUCAGAUUGAGGAAAAGAAACAAAGAGAGGAAGCAGAGCGAGAGAGACUGAGAAUUGCCGAAGAAAAAGAAGAAAGACGGCUUGCAGAACAGAGGGCACGAAUUCAGCAGGAGUAUGAAGAGGAACAGGAAAAGAAAAGGGAGAAAGAGGAGGAGCAAAGACUAAAAAAUGAAGAGCAUAUUCGGUUAGCUGAACAAAGACAAAAAGAAGCAGAAAGAAAGAAGAAAGAAGAAGAAGAAAAAUAUAACCUACAACUUCAGCACUACUAUGAAAGAGAUAAUUUGAUUGGGGAAGAAACAAAGCGCUUGAGACAGCCUUCUCCUAUAGUUCCUGCCCUUCAGAACAAAAUUGCAAGCAAACUCCAAAGACCUCCUUCGAUUGACAGCAUCAUACGUUCCUUUAUUCAUGAAAGUUCCACGUCCAGGGCACAGUCACCCCCGGUACCUGCCAGGAAAAAUCAGCUCCGUGCAGAAGAGGAGAAAAAAAAUGUAAUUAUGGAAUUAUCAGAAAUGAGAAAACAACUUCGUAGUGAAGAGAGGCGUCUACAAGAGCGAUUGCUACACAUGGACAGUGAUGAUGAAAUUCCUAUCAGGAAAAGGGAAAGGAAUCCCAUGGAUAUAUUUGAUAUGGCUAGACAUCGGUUGCAAGCUCCUGUCAGAAGACAGUCACCUAAGGGCUUAGAUGCUGCCACUUUUCAGAAUAUUCAUGAUUUUAAUGAGCUGAAAGAUAGAGAUUCAGAAACACGAGUUGAUCUGAGAUUUAUGUACCCGGAUCCUCCAAGAGAUCAUCACACCUUAGAGAUUCAGCAGCAAGCCCUGCUAAGAGAGCAGCAGAAGAGGCUGAACAGAAUAAAAAUGCAGGAAGGUGCCAAAGUUGACUUAGAUGCCAUCCCAAGUGCUAAAGUACGAGAGCAAAGAAUGGUGCUUACGGUGAGACAUAUCCUGCCAUUGAAGAUGACGUCCUCCCCCCACCAUCACAGUUGCCCUCUGCACGGGAGCGCAGGAGGAGCAAAUGGAAAGGAGUAGACAUUGAUAGCAGUCGUCCUAAUGUAGCACCAGAUGGUCUCUCUCUAAAAUCUACAUCCAGUGUAAAUGUUGAUCAGCUUAGAAUGAGAAAUGAGGAACGAAUGCGAAGACUGAAUGAACUUCACAAUAAACCUAUUAAUACAGAUGAUGAGAGUUCACUGGUUGACCCUGAUGACAUCGUGCAACACAUAGGGGAUGACGGAUCAAACUCUGUAGCAACUGAGCCCUGGCUCCGCCCUGGCACUUCAGAAACACUGAAACACUUCAUGGCAGAGCAGCUGAACCAGGAGCAGCAGCAGGUUCCUGGAAAACCAGGCACUUUCACUUGGCAUGGCCUGUCGACUGCACAUGGUUAAAAUAAACCUGUAUUGGACCCAGUAGUGCCUUUUAAGGUGAAAGGAAUGGUAAAUCUGUACCUUCAAUAAUAUGUCCUACUUUUGGCCCCUACCUGAAAGUUAUUUUUUCCAUCUGUAUAUAAAAUUAUAUAUAUUGUGUAAAUAAAUAUAAGGCCAUGAUUAUUGAUUUAUAUAAUAGAAUUGUAUAGAAUUAUUUUUGCACAACUUUGUCAUAAAUUAGGGUGGUAAUGAACUGAACUACUGUGUGUGUUAUGUUGAAUUCUGCUUGUCAUUAAGAUAAGGUGAGUAAGUGUCUUAACCGUCCUGUAAAACCAGACUCCCCUUUGUUACAGGCACAUUUUCCAUUGUUACCUCCGUGCAAAAGAAUUCAUUCGGUAGGUACAUCUAUUGUAGCUGUGAUUAUUCCAGUUUCUGUGUGACGCAAUCAGAUGUCCUAUCUCAUGUCAUUUGUAGCUACUGAUACAGAAAUGAAGGGAACUGUAAUUGCUUGUAUGCUUGUAAGCCAUACGUUAAAUGUUACACCUUUCUGCUUCUAUUUUUAUUCCAAUGAAGGCAUUUGUCUUAAGUUACUAAUUUAUAUUACUACUACUUGAUAUAAAUAAAUUAUUUUAAUUACUAAAAUCUUUUUAA